UCUGGCACUUUACUAUUUGGGAGGUUGAGUAACAGGGACAGGAUAUCAGCAUUGUAGGUGUGACUAAGAGCUGAAGGUCACAGGAAUCCUGCGUUCCAGUAGAUUGAAGAUACUUCAGAAGUAAUAACUAAUAGAAAUUGUACAGACUGAGACUUGGAAAAAAAUCGCUUGACUUGAGCCAGUCAUUUGACUGGCUCAAAUUCACAAAAUGGCAGACUUUGGACUUGGAUCAUAGGAAAGAAAAAUAAUUUUUCAGAGGGACAAUUGAGAGAGG
rnacentral:lncRNA from 1 species